CCUGGCUUCAUUGAGCUGGUCCUCCAGCUCUGAGAAGCUGAAGCUGGAGACCGUGAUGAAGUCGCUCAUGACCGGGACAAACCUGUCCUUUGGAUCCCAUGCCUGGCGUUUCUGAUAUUCCAGCUCCUGAGGAGGGAGAGCCAAGUGCUGGUCAGACCAGUGCCAGGACGAGAGUCAGGAAUGCUGGGACUCACCACGUCCUCCACCCUCCUUGCCAAUCGCAGGACACUGAGCCUUCCUUUGGAAGAGGGUACACCCUGGGUCUCAAAUUCUAAGGGUGGCAAAGAUUGUGAGAUCCUUCUAGACCAGAAAUGUCAUGCUGCAUAUUGGAAGGUUUCCAACACAUGGCCUCUGGCUUGGAUUUAUUUUUAUUACCAUCAGAUGCUUCUAUCAGCCUAUAUACGUUCAGGUCUGACUUCUCGCCUGUAGCAGAUGCCCCUGGAGCCCGCCACCCCACCCCCGCCAUCUCCUUGGACCAUCCGUUGUAGUGGACAGCCCUGACUUCCAACCACUGAGCACUUUUUCUGCGGGCCAGAGCGUUACUGCCCACCCCCAGCCAGUGAGUGACAGGAGAUGGUAGAUGAUGCCUAUCUUACCCCUUGUGGGGAUAAUGGAGCGAGUGUCCUACACUGUCUCCCACACUCUGCAGAGGCAGGAUUAAGCUCUGCUCGCCUGCAGUGGUAAGUGGCUUCACAACAACCCCAUUGCCGGCAUUCUCCCCAUCCCUGUCACAGCUCCCCACUCCCCGCUUUGUUUCCUGAGAGAAUCUCUGAAAUGAGGAUUUGAGAGCAAAGAGUGUCUUUCGUUGGGUUCUCCCAGAGCAGACCCCGAGAUGCUGUUCAUUCUGAGCCAGCUCAGAGCAGCCCCGAAGGAGGAAGUUUAGAUGAGAGAGGGCGGGAUCACAGGGAGAAGGCAGCCUCAAGAGGACCCCUUACUUGACUUUGGCGGCUUCUGGAAGGUGCUGCAGCUCAGAGGGCAUGUUCAGGAUGUCAGGGAAAUGCUUCUCCAGGAUCAUGAUCAGAUAAUGGAGCAAAGAGAUGUUUCUGUGGGUGAAAGUCGGGUCAGGGGUACGGGGCCAAGGGAAUUGGGAAUGAGGGUCCGGCGGAAACUAGGGUGAGG